rnacentral:rRNA from 1 species
AUUGAACGCUGGCGGCGGGCCUAACACAUGCAAGUCGAGCGGCAGCGGGAAAGUAGCUUGCUACUUUUGCCGGCGAGCGGCGGACGGGUGAGUAAUGCCUGGGAAAUUGCCCAGUCGAGGGGGAUAACAGUUGGAAACGACUGCUAAUACCGCAUACGCCCUACGGGGGAAAGCAGGGGACCUUCGGGCCUUGCGCGAUUGGAUAUGCCCAGGUGGGAUUAGCUAGUUGGUGAGGUAAUGGCUCACCAAGGCGACGAUCCCUAGCUGGUCUGAGAGGAUGAUCAGCCACACUGGAACUGAGACACGGUCCAGACUCCUACGGGAGGCAGCAGUGGGGAAUAUUGCACAAUGGGGGAAACCCUGAUGCAGCCAUGCCGCGUGUGUGAAGAAGGCCUUCGGGUUGUAAAGCACUUUCAGCGAGGAGGAAAGGUUGAUGCCUAAUACGUAUCAACUGUGACGUUACUCGCAGAAGAAGCACCGGCUAACUCCGUGCCAGCAGCCGCCGUAAGAC